GAAUAGACUGUGACAGAAGAUCAAGUUUGGAAGUCACCAUGACUUACAGAAAAACUUGUUUUACAACAGUUUAUAUAGUGAUUUAACCCCAGUCAGCAAACAAGCUUCCCAUUAGCAGGAUGGGGGAAAGAAUCAGAUGACUUCAUUUUAUUUUUCACUUUUAGUUAUCAACCCUGCUUUCAAGUAAGAUCCAAAACGUAGCCCUACACUAGCUACUGAAGAAAAGUCACUCUAUUCUAACCAAAACCAGCACAACUGAAAAAUUUUCUAUGGGGUAAAACUAAUUUUUCCUCCUUUAAAUGGAGUGUCCACCAUAAGCAUGAAACAAGGUGCGUGGUCUCUUUCCAUUCUCAUUCAGUGGAAAGCUAAAUGGGGCCCAGUACCCCUAUGGAUGUCUCACCUCUUCUACUUGCUCUUUAACCAUCCAGACACAAGUCAUUGUUUACCUGAGGGCUGUACAGCCCCCUUCACCUAUGCUGCUGUGUCAGAAGACCUUUCUAAGAUGCCAGGUCACUGGAGAGCACAUACACAGAAAAUGGAAUCAAGCUGACCCUCUCCAGCAACUUGAGCAGGUAUUAAAAAAUCAAAUUGUAAAGAAGUCUUCAGUGUUUAUGUAUGGAUCUUAGACCUUGGCCAAUUUGGAGACAUCCAUAAGAGCACUUCUGAAAACAAAUCAUAGUAAACAGCUCAAACUACAAGUGGUCAGCUCUUGGGGAAACCAGAAAAUUCUACAUGGCUGAUACCUACCCAGAAUAGAAAUCUAAUGAAACAUUUGCUACUGCACUUUAGGACUAACUGCCUGAUGCUAGGAGAGAAGGUAGGGAUGGUUUAGAGACAAAAUGGGGUUUGAGUGAUGUAAAAAGGGAACAUGGAAAUAAUUUGAAAAACUAAGCCCAAACUGACAAAUCAACCCAGACAGCUUCAUCUAGUCUCUUGAUAACUCUGGUCAUGAUUUUUUUUCUGCAAGUUUCCUGAUAAAUUUGGCCUGGAUGUUGUUUACUCCUCCUGUUUUCCUGGGAGUAAACACAACCUAUGAAACCCAGGAUAGGAAUGUUGCACCAGAGCAAUCAACAUUUAAC